CAGGUAAGAUAACACAUUUACAAGUUCUGGGAAUCGGGUCAUGGUCAUCUUCAGGAUCCCUUAUUCUGUGCACCAUAGUAGGAUACCAAACACAUCCGUGACCCACUAUAGAUUCAUUAACUGUCAGCAAUCUCCCCAGCCUUCUCUCGCUUUGUUACUUCAGAAAAACACACUCACAACACACAGAAAAGGGACAGAUGCAUGAACAAAUAAAGUUGAGUUAAUAAAGCUGUAUUUCGAUAGGCUUCUCUGGCAUAAUCUUUACAGUGGUGUGGAACACGAUUCUUAUUUCAACUUUUUAAAAGUACUGAUAAUUUUGAAAAAUGGGGCCAGGAUGACAUAAAAUCAAACUAAGGACAAUAGAGUUCCAAUCAGAGAGUCAUCUGAAUUUAUAUAUUAAUUCAUUGUUUUAGAUUCAUUCAUUGGGGUUAUAGGUUGGUAGCGUGCAUGCCUGGCAUGCUCCAGAACCUGGAUCCCAUCCCCAGGGCCACCUCCUCCACCAAUGAGAAACAAAAACAAAAACAAAAAAACUAGGUGCACUUUCUAGUGACAGUUAUGCAAAAGACUGGUUAAAGGGAAUUGGGAUGGGCUAAUACAUAACAAGUUUUACUGAAUUUCCAUUCUGUACAAAUGCUUCCCUAGGCCCUGGAGACGCAGCAGUGGAUGAUGCAGGUUUGUUCCCUGUGUUCAUGGAGCCUUCCAAAGGGACUUCCUGUUUUGAGGAUUUUAGAAAAAUUUUAUCCAUUUUGAAACAAAAAAGUCUCCCCUCGAGACUCUCUGGAGAAAGAAGGAAAUACUGGUUAUUGGCAUAAGAAAAAUGAUGUUGCAUGUUAUAUUGAGAGUUAAUCUAUUUUAUUUCAAAAACAUGUUAUGACAUGAUGAAUUUAGUCCUUGAAAUUUUGCAGAAAGGCUAAAGUAGUAAAUAAUUAGGAGUGGAAAAAAAUCAUGGAGGAAAAGCUUUUUAAAAAAUAGCUGAAAUGAAGGACUGUUCACAACAGAAUAAUGUCCUGGAAUGACAGAUGGGCGCUUAGUUUCCUGGGACAUUCAGAGAGUCCUAUUAAAAAGCCCUGGCAGGGGGAGACAUGGUAGAGAGUCACUUGUCACUCAUUAUUCUACAGAAAUUAACUAAAUUCACUAUUCUCUCUGGUUUCAAUUUCUAUUCUAAAUAUCAACUAAUAUGGUCUAAAUUUUUUUUCUGUCCCCAGUGCCCUGAAAUAUUUUAAAUGCAUAGAUUCUCAUGGCCAUUACUUUCUGGUUUUCAGAACAGGAGCAAAUGUAUUCUGUAGGAAGUUGUAGCCAAUGACAUAAGAAUCAGAAUCUGACUUGACUUAUAAUCAUUUUGUUAAGUAUGUGUGUGUCUGUGUAUCACACACACUGAAACUAAAAUAAUGUAUUAUGUUUAGAGAAGAUAAGUUGUAAAUUUUGCAGAGAAACAUAUAUUUAUAUAAGAAAAUAAUAAUUUUUAAUUAAUAAUUUAAUAAUUUUAAAAAAAGGUUUAUAAUGAAAUGUGCCAUCUAACACAUUGUAUUAAUUAGGGUAGAAAAUAAAAAUUCAACUACAAAAUCUCAGGAGUUGAGAAUAAUAAAGCUUUUUUCUCUCUCUCAUGCAAAAUAGAAAGUAUAUGGACUGAUUAUCUGGGACUAUUGUUCUUCAUGAGGUGACUUUGAAAUCCAGGACAUUUGUCAUUUAUUCAUUGCUAUUGCAGUCUGAGAGACUUUACUAAUACUUGGACAUAAAAGAAGUUGAAUAUUUGUUGAAUGAAAACAGAAAAAAAAAUCACUUCAAGGUAUUUACUAUAGAGGAGACUUAGGGUGGCAAUGACUUGGACUUUUUUGGAAUAUGCCUCAGUAAGUAAAUAUAUGACAAUAAUCAUACUGAAUAGUGAGACAGCUGGACUGGCUAGAUCACAGGCUCUAAUUAUGGCCUAAAGUCUAGGUUGCUUUCAGGUGCAAGUGCUAGAUUACCCAAGCAAAUGAGACUUAAGCAACUGGGAUUUAAUAGUCUCUACCAUAAUAAAAAUGAAUCAAGACAAUAGUCAUGGAAGGCUUUUUUGCUUCACUAAUCAUCAAAGACCUAAGGUGUCCCCAUUUUUUAUCUCCUUCAACCUUAUGCUGACAGGGUCACAUAAUAGUUCCCCUCACAUCUUUGGCCAACAAUAUAUUUUUAAUGGGUUGGCCCAGAAAGUUGUCCUCAUGCAUCUUUCUUUUUUCUUUUUAUUAGAGUGGAAAUUAUUUUUCAGAACCGCUCACCCACAGAAGAAUUCAUUCUCAGUGUCUGUACCUACAUCACAUGAUAUCACCUAGCCAAAAGAGAGAUCCCUGAACUGGAGGUAAAAACUUUGAGUCAUUAGCAUAUGGAUGCCAUUUAAAGUCAUGAGAUUGCAUGAACUUGCUAAUGAACUACAUGUUGAUUUUUUAAAAAUGAUAGGAAUCACCUGGUUCUUCAUCAUUAAGCGGUGGGGAAAUGAGAUUACACUUAGUAGCUUGCUAAUUUUGAACAAGUUGCUUAACCUUUCUGAGUUUCCAUUCUUUCAACUUUAAAAUGGGGAUGACAUUUAAAUUGACAUGUUUCUAUGAGAUCAACCCCCAACUCUUAAAGUUAUCUAGGCUUAUCUUUUCAAUAUAUCACCAAGGUUACAAAGAUCAAAGAAAAUAAUGCCUGUGCCAGACUUCAUAAGCACUUGAUGUAUAUUAAUUCUCUUUACACCAAAUAUCUGUAAAAACGAGAGUGGCCAAGAGUAAUUUUUUUUUGUUCUGAUUAACACCAUCAAAUGGCUUCCUGUUACAUGUGGAAUAAAACUGGCCUCUCUAUGACUACCACGGUGUUCAGUGUUGUCCUGCCUGUCUGUAUAACUUCUUCUCAUCCCUCCACUCAUCCCCUAUUUUUUAUUGAUCGGGAUGGCUUAACACUAUCCUCAGCAAGACCAAACUUUAGGCCAGGUUGUUUCUGAUCCUGAGGCCUUACUCUCCCGUUUCUUACAGUGUAUUCCUUAGAAAACAAUCUCAUUGUAAAUUAUUUCUUUGACACUGUAAAUGUAAAUCUGUUUGAAAGCCUCUUGCUAGUUCUACAGCUCAGGACUGACUUUUCAAGGACCCUGGAGACAUGCCUUUGUAGUGUAAUCCAGAAGAAGUUCACUAUCUCCCAGUUUCUGUGGGAAGUUGGGCACUUACCUUCCUAGGUGCUUUGAGGCAAGAUGGAAAAUUAUCUUCUGUCAUAAACACAUUUUUAAGUUUAGUUUAUUUUUCCCUUUGGGAAAGAUCAAUUAGCAAAUACAGGUGACCUACAACUUCCCCAGGCCAGUUUUUUUUUUUUUUUUAAUUUCCUAUUCCUAUUUCAGUGGAAUUGAAUUCAGAUUGCCUUCUGGUCUCUAUUCCUUAUUGUAAUAGCCUUAAAUAAUGUCUUCCUUAUCUGUUUACUUUUGACUGGUAAAAUUUUUGCUUUGACAGUACCCCUUAGGUAGUCUGACCUUUCUGAUCCUAGCUUGUUUCCACUCAAGUUGUCCAUACCUGCUGUUCCCUUUAUUAGGAGUGCUGCAUCCCUGUGGCCACCCACAGUAAUCUCCUGUUCAGUAAGAGCUUGGCUCAGGCAUCACCUUAGCUGUCUUUCAUGUUUACUCUUUCCUGCUGCCUUUCUCACCAUACUCAUCCUCAGUUGCAUCAUCCUGUUUUAUGAACUCUGUAAUAUUAAUCAUGAUCUGAAAUUUUCUCACUUAUGUGUUAUUUACUUGCAUAUUUGCUUUUAGUCACCUGUAUAUGAGCUUCAUGCAGCAGAGCCUGUUACUGGUUCCUCAACCAGCCCCUGAAAAGUGCCUGAUAUUUAGUAAGUGCUCAAAAUAUUUUUAUCAAAGUUUGAUACUUUCUUUCUCUGGGCUCUGCUUGCUUGCUUGCUUGCCUAUCUAUCUAUCUAUCGUUACAGGAUAUUGAAUCCGGGGGUGCUUUGCCAUUGAGCUGCAUCCCGCAGCCCCACUUUUCAAAAAUUUGAGACAGGGUCUUACUAAGUUUCCCAAGCUGGCCUCAAACUUGCAAUCCUCCUACCUCAGCCUCCCAAGUAGCUGGGUUUACAGGCAUGAACCACUCUGCUCAGCUUCUUAUAUUUUUAUUUUAAAAAUAACUAAACAAAACUCAUAUAUAUUCCAUUUUUUCCCCUCUAUCUGCCAUUCUUUCUCCCACUGUUGAAACAUGAAUUUUAUCAGCAAGUGGCGGAUACGCAAGUGACUCCAAGCUGAAAUCUUCUUACUAGGGGGCACUUGGGUCCACCUAUUAGGAAAGCAGCAUGUACAGUCUGCUUUUUGCUACAGCAGAUGCUGAUGGAGAUUUGUUUCAGGCACAGGUUGUUUCUAGUCAUCUCAAGUGUAGAAAGCAAGCAAUCCCAAGUCCCUAAAACACUUUCACUGAAAUUGCUAAAUAAUGAACUCAGGUGAGAAGAGCUUUACAAACACCUUCGCUUAUACUUUACUAUUUUUGUGGUUCUUCUUUUAAUUUUUAAAAAUUUUAUACACAGAGUGGGGUUGAUUAUGACAUAUUCAUAUGUGCAUAUAGCACAGUGGUUUCCAUUUCAAUGCCCUGUACUAACCCCUUCCCUCUCCUCCUGCCUCCCCCAGAUCCCCUUUCUCUCUUCUACUGGUCUCCCUUCUAGGCAUUCAUUUUUUUCUUUUUACUUUUUAAUUGAGUGUUAUAAUUAUAUAUAAAAUUUGAAUGUAUUGUGGUAUAUUUAUAUACACAACUAGAAUAAAUUUGGUGAAAUUCAUACACCAGUUUUCCCCCUUCCACACCCUCCUCCCUCCCUUUUGUACACUGCUUCUGCUCUACUCAUCCCUUUUCUAUUUCCAUGAGGUCUCCUUUCUUAUUUCCUUUCUUGUGUUUCAUUUCCACAUAUUAAAAAAACACAUUCCAUCCUUGACAAUUUGAGUCUAUCUUAUUUUAUUUAGCAUGAUGUUCUCCAGUUCUAUCCAGCACAUUAUAUAAUUUCAUUUUUCUUUGUGGAUGAAUAGAACUCCAUUGUGUGUAUGUGUGUGUGUGUGUCUGUGUGUGUGUGUGUAUCACAUUUUCUUUAUCCAUUUGUCUGUUGAGGGGCAACUAGGUUGGUUCCAUAACUUGGCUAUUGUGGAUUGUUCUGCUAUAACAUCACUAUGCAUGCAUCCUUAGUAUAUGCUGAUUUUAGUUCUUUUGAACAAAUACCAAGGUAUAGGAUAGCUGGGUCAUAUCAUGGUUGCAUUCCUAGUCUUCUGAGGAAUAUCCCUACUGCUUUCUAAAGUGAUUGUACUAAUUUACAAUCCCACUAACAAUGUAUGAAUGUAAUUUCCCCCACAUCCUCACCAGCAGUAUUGUUAUUUUUAUUCUUGAAGACCACCAGUCUAACUGGGAUGAGAUGAAAUCAGUGUAGUUUUGAUUUGCAUUUCUUUGAUUACUAAGGAUAUUUGACUUUUAUUUCAUAUAUUUGUUGGUCAUUUUGUAUUUCUUCUUUUGAGAAAUUUCUCAUUAGAUCUUUUGCCCAUUUAUUGAGUGAAUUAUUGUUUUUUGUUGUUGUUGUUGAUAAAUGUUUUGAAUUUUUAAUAUAUUCUGGUUAUUAAUCCCCUGUCAGUAGAGGAGUUGGCAAAGAUCUUAAUUACAGGGUCUCUCUUUAUACUCUUGUUUUCUUUGCUGCGCAGUAACUCUUAAAUUUAAUCAUAUCUCACCUAUUAAUUCUUGGUUUUAUUUCUCACACUGUUAAGGAAGUUGGUGCCUGCACCAAUAUUUUGGAAUUUUGCUUCUACAUUUUUGUCUAGAGUUUUACUGUUUCUGGUCUAAUUCCUAGGUCUCUUUUAUCCCUUUUGGGUUGACUUUUGUACAUGGUGAUAGGAAGUGAUUUCAUUUCAUUCUUCUACAUAUAGUUGUCCUGUUUUCCUAGAUCUAUUUAUUUAAAAGCCUAUCUUUUUCCAACAUAUGCUUUUGGCAGUUUUGUGAAAGACCAGAGGACUGUAUUUGUCUGGAUUUGUCUGUCUUCUAGACUAUAUCAUUGGUGUCAUUUAUGUUUUUGUGCAAAUACCAUGCUGUUUAUGUUUCCGUAGCACUAUAGCAUAAUUUGAGAUCAAGUAUUGCAAUGCCUCCAGUCUUGCUCUUGUUGCUCAGAAUUUCUUUGACUAUUGAGAGUGGUGUGUUGAAAUCACCAAGUAUGACUGCAUUGGAUUUAUCUGGGACUUAAAGUCAGAAGUGUUUGUUUUAUGUAAUCAGGAUGACCAACAUUUGGGGCAUAAAUAUCUACUAACAUUAUAUCUUUUUGUUGGAAUGUUCUCUUUAACAGUAUAUGAUGCCUUUCCUUGUCUCUUCUGAUUAAGUUUUGCUUGAAAUCUCCUUUGUCAGAUAUAAGAAUAGCCACUCCUGCUUGUUUUUAAACUGUUAUCAUGGAAUGUCUUUCCCAUCCCUUUACUUUCAAUCUGUGGAUCUUUAUGUAUAAGAUGACUUUCUUGCUAACACUUGCUAACAGCAUAUGGUUGGUUUUUUUUUUCUUUUUAAUUCAUUCUGGCAGUCUGUGUCUUUUAAUUGGAGAGUUGAGACCAUUUGCAGUCAGAGUUAUGAAAAGACAUUUAUUCCAGUCAUUUUGGAUGGUUUCAUAGAUUUAAUUUGCACUUAAUUUUCAUUUGCUUAAUUAGUCUUCUAGAGAGUCUUAUCCUUUUGAGAGCUCUGAGUUUGUUUUUGAGUUCUUGGUAUAGUAUUUCUUAAGUGUAGCUUAAUGGUCAUGAAUUCUUUCAGUUUAUUCUUAUCAUGGAAAGUUUUAUUUCUUCUUCAAUUUUGAAUGAUAGCUUUGCUAGAUGUAGCAACCUUGGCUGGCAGUUAUGGUUUUUAGAGCUUGGAUUAUAUCAUUCCAACCGUUCUGACUUUUACAUACUGAGUUGAGAAGUCUGAAGUGAGUGUUACUGGUCUACUUAUAAAUAUGACUUCUUAUGGAUUUUUAUGUUUAUUCUUUAUUCUCUAUGUUGGGCAUCUUGAUUCUGAUGUGUCUCAGGUUCUUUUUUGAUCUUGUCUAUUUGGGGUUCUAUAUGAUUACUACAUCUGGAUAUCCAUCUUGUUCCUAUGCUUUGGGCAAUUUUUGGCUAUUACUUCAUGGCAAAGAUUCCUAAUGCCACUGGCCCAUAUUUCUGUGUCUAUAUCUAUGCCAAGAACUCUUAAGUUUGUUGCUUAAUAUUUUCUCAAGAGUUCUUGUAUGUUUUGAUGAUGAUCUUUCUGUUUUUUUUUCUUACUGCCUACUGAGUAUCCCAGCUCAAAUAUCCUAUAUUCAACACCUGAGGUUCUGUUUUCUACUUAGUCAGUUGGUGAUGUUUUCCAAGUGAAUUUUUUUUAAUUUGCUUUACUGUAUCUUUCAUUUCUAUUCAUUUCAUUUCUAUUUUCAGAAUCUAUAUUUCUUUAUUGAAAUGGUCUUUCACCUCCUAUAAGCACUCUCUUCGUUUAUUCCUUAAUUUGUUUCUUAGAUCUUCUUUGAACUCAUCAAUCACUGUAAUAAUCAAUGUCUUAAUUUUUUAUCUGGAAUUUCAUCCACUUUUAUGUCUGUAUGUUCUUUUGUUGGGAGAUUGUAACUUUUGCAAGGAGCCUUAUCUGCCUGUUUCCUCAGGAUUUUAAAGAUCUUGGACUUGUUCAUCUCUUGAGAUAGAUUCCUCUUUGUCUUCUGUAAAGAUGUCUUUUGACAUGUCGUCUUCUUUGUAAAAAGUCCUGUGUUGUUGAUACCUCUUAGGAAAACAUAGACUAUUUCAUGAAUUUGCAGGUCAUUUGUACAGAGCCAUAUAAAUCUACUCUGUAUUGUUCCAAGGUGCUCCUGAAGCAAGAACCUACUUUACUUUUUGAAACUCUUGUUUCAUGCAGCUUAACAAAAAGACCAAUAAAAUACAGGGGAGAGACAUAGCUAUCAUUUAGGUUUCUCAGAAUUUUAAGAGCUUAUUUCUCUAUGUAAUCAAUUAAAUUACUGAAUUCAGAGGCUAAAAUUCAAAAGCAACUACAAUUGAUUUGUUAAGUUACUGAGUUAACUCUCUUCUACAUUCCCAGCUCUAGUGUCCUGCUCACUGUUUCUUCCAUUGAGGCCAAGUAGAGGGUCAAGAACUUAUCUAGGAGAUGUGAUUAAUGGUGACAUAGUUCAGAACAAAAUCCUACUUCAUUAUCAGUAGCAGCUGUUGCUCUUUAAGCCUGGAGUUUCUGAAUAAUUGUUUCAACUCAUUUCAUUUGUCCUUUAAAGGCACAAGAGAAGCAAUUUGAUAAGAAAAAUCCUCGCCAGGGGACACAUGUAUAUUAGCCAAGAGAACAUCAAUAGAAUGUCUUCACCUUUCACAUCAUUGGCAUCUGAUAAUAACAUUCAUAAAAAAAUCUCCUGAAAUGAGAGGCUGCAGAAGAUAAAGGGAUGUUUUGUGCAGAAAAUAGCAUAGAACAGAGCAGGGUCCUUAAUAAGAGGACAAAACUGGAGUCUAGGAAAUGUUGGGGGACGGGGAAGGACAUGAGAGUCAACAUAAGAACUGCAGCCUUACAUUUAUCUGAGUUGUUGCAUGAUGGAGAGCGAGAAGAAAAGUUAAGUGGUAAGUGGAAAGGUGAUACCAGGAAAAGCAAUUUGCUUUUGAAUUUUAGUUUUGUAGAGAAGGAGGAAGAAAACAAUGAUUUGGAAGGUUCAAUACAGGAGCAAUUAGGAGUUGUCUGAAAUGUUCUUUUUUACAUGUUAUUAAGUUACAUAGUCUCAAACUAAAACAGGACAUGCUUUAGUUUGUGAUAAAGUACAGUAGAGAAAAAUACAAGCUGAUCAUAUAAUAGUAUGCAAUAUUGUUGCUGAAACCUUAGUUCUGAUAAUGAUUUAGCCACCGAGUCAACUGUCAGGAUUCUAUACCCACACCCUGCCACUAGCUGCCUGCAAUUAUACUACAUGGAUCCUAGGACAAUGUAAAUCAGCUAAAUUAGCACUUCUUUGUAUAUCUAAAACUAAUAAUGUAAACCCCAAGAAUCUUUGUAGAUGUUUCCUAUUUAUUGCUGCACUAGCACAAUGUAAGUAAACAAAACAAUGAGUGAUCUUUGAUUAAGAAAAAAUGAAGUUUAAAAAAAAUCUUAAGUUACAAGAUGACAAUAAAAUCUGAAGAAUUUUUCCCACCAGUUCCCUCCCCUACAUACAAUCUAAUGAUGAGUCACUCAUAUCCUUAAGGAUCCUAGCAGUGAGAAGGGGAUGUUAUUUGCUCAAUAUUUUAUUCAAUAGAAAUUUACUAGUUUGAACUCUGUACCCAACUCUGUUCCACGUGCUCAGAAAAAUGUAUGGCUGCAGCUCUAAUAUUGAAUCUCUUGUCCUUUCCCCCAACAUUUCCUAGAAUCCAGUGAAUUCGAAGUUCCUGACUUUGAGAACAUAUUCUAACAUGGAGAGACAGACAGAAAACAGAUGUCCAGCAUUUCUGGCAUUAUAGGUGUUGUAAAGCAGAAUAAAGCAGAAUACAGGAGACCACAUUGCCUGGGGAGAACUGGUGCUGUUUUAUUUAGCAUAGUUAGGGAAAGCCUCUUUGAUCAGAUGGUUUUUGAGCAGAGAUUUGAAGGAAAAUAAAUGAUCAUGCUAUGCAAAUAGAUGACCAAGGGAUGAAGUAACCAGGUGGAAGAGCAAAUGCAGACCCUGUGGUGGGAAAGUAUUACUUUUCAGGGAUUCCUUUUCUUUUUCUUUCUUUUUUUUUUUGUUCAAAUUAUUUAUACAUGACAAUGGGAUGCAUUUCAACUCAUCGUACACAAAUGGAGCUCAACUUUUCAUUUCUCUGGAUGUACAUGAUGCAGAGUUACACCAUUCGUGCAAUCAUACACAUACAUAGGGUAAUACUGUCUGUCUCAUUCCACCAUCUUUCCCAUCCACAAACCCCCUCCCCUCCCCUCACUCCUCUCUGCCCUAUCCAAAGUUCCACUAUUUUCCCUUGUUCCCUCAUCCCUUUAUGGAUCAGCAUCCACUUAUUAGAGAAAACAUUUGGCCUUAGGUGUUUGGGGAUUUGCUAACUUCACUUAGCAUGUUAUUCUCCAGCUUCAUCCAUUUACCUGCAAAUGCUAUAUUUUAAUUCUCCUUUAAGGCUGAAUAGUAUUCUAUUGUGUGUGUGUGUGUGUGUGUAUUUCUUUAUCCAUUCAUCUAUUGAGGGACACCUAGAUUGGCUCCAUAGUUUAGCUAUUAUAAAUUGAGCUGCUAUAAACAUUGAUGUGGCUGCAUUAUUAUAGUAUGCUGAUUUUAAGUUCUUUGGGUAUAGACUGAGGAGUGGGAUAGCUGGGUCAAAGGGUGAUUCCAUUUCAAGUUUUUUAAGGAAUCUCAUACUGCCUUCCAUAGUGGUUGCACCAAUUUGCAGUUCCACCAGCAAUGCAUGAGUGUACUUUUCCCCUGCAUCCUCGCCAACACUUAUUUUUGCUUGUAUUCUUGAUGAUUGCUGUUCUAAUUGGAGUCAGAUGAAAUGGGAAUUUAUAAAGUAGUCAAGGUUGUUGGAACAGAAUGAGUAAGGAGACUGAUGUAAAAUGGAGGCAGAGUCUAAAGGUCUGUUUACUGGGUAGACAUUUUAUAACUUAAAGAGAUGGAAAUGGACAAAAGAAAUUUAUUGUCAGAUGCUGGCCAUUGAGGAUCUCCUUGCCUUGGAGAGCUUGUCAGGCUCCAACUCUAGGGUGACAGAUUGAAAGUUUCCAUUACAAUUUGUUUCUAAUUCUAUAAUCAUAUAACUUGGAUUUCUCUCUUUUCAGUUUAAUUUUUUGUGUGCUCACAUGUGAUUUUAAGAAAUUGUGGAGAAAUCACAUAUAUUUUGCCCAUUUUUCUCAAUGGCAAUAUUUUGUGAUAUUAAAUUAUAAGAUUCUGAUACUGAUACAAUGAACUGAUCUUAUUCAGAUUUCCCCAUUUUUACCUUUAAUCACAUGUGUUCAUUAAGUAUAUGCCAUUUUCACAUGUGUAGGUUACUAUAUCCACCACCAUAAUCAAUAUAUUAAACAGUUAUAACAUAAAAGUUUCCCACUUAAAACCAUACAACCACUCUCCUUACUCUUUCCCCAUGUAUAAAGCCAUGAAAUGUGUCCUCCAUUUAUAAGUUUUUGUCACUUAACAACUAUUAUGUAAGGGAAAUCAUUCAAUAAGUGACCUUUGGUGAUUGGUUUUCCACUCAACACAACUACUGGGAAAUUAAAUAGUUCUUGUAUGUAUAAAUAAUUUUUAUUGCUAAGUGAUAAUGCAUGCUAUAGAUAUACCAUUGUUUGUUUAUUUUUACUGGCUGAAAGAUACAUGGGCUGAUUCCAGUUUGGGAUAAUUAUAAAUAAAACUGUUAUGAACAUUAGUGUCUACUUUUUUAUAUAAAAUAAUAGGUUUUCAUUUCUCUGAGACAAAUACCUAAGGAUGCAAUUGCUAGAACCUAUGAUAGUUUCAUAUUUUGUUUUGUAAGAAUGUAACAACCUGUUUUCUACAGCUGGUAUAGCCUUUUUAUAUUCCCAUCAGCAAUCCAUGAAUGAGUCACUUUCUUUACAUCCUUGAUGUUAUUAUUAUUUUUUUUGCUUUAGUCAUUCUGAUAUCUUAUAUAUUAUAUAUAAGACAUUCUCAUAUAUUUUAGUGGUUUUAAUUUGCAUUUACCUGAUGGCUAAUGAUGCUGAACAUCUUCCAUGAACUUAUUUGGCAUGUGUGUUCUCUUCACAGAAAGGUCUGUUCAUUCCUUUCCCCACCUUCUAGAUGUAUUAUUUUUGCCAUUGUUAGGUAUUUUGUUUAUUUAUUUUGUUUUUCAUACUGCUGAGGUUUCCCAGAUCAGAAAGCUGUAGCUGAAUCUACUUUGACUGUUCUGUCCUUUACCUUCGUGUAUCUGGAUGGUGUAGGAGAGCUUUGAUCCCUCAAGGCAAAGUGGCUCCUCAGACUGAGCUUCUGCAUGUCUCUUGUGAGUUCUGCUUGCCCACCUGGGUGUCUCUUGGCAUAAAGUGGGAGUUUAAUACCAAUAGAGGAGAGUGCUUUUCCUGGAUGCCUAGUUUUGGUUAAGGCUCUUAAUGAAUCCCUAUUGCCUUUUGUAUCAGGCUUGCCUGAUGUUGUCAGAGGAACCUUUGUUCUAUUGGGAGAGGAAUGAGCCCACAUGGCUGCCUUCUGUUGCUAAGUAUGGGGGAAACCCCAGCCCUGUGAAGCAAUCUGUCUGGUGGCAGAACCAAGAUAUCCCCCACUGUGCUAUUCUUCAAUACCUAUGCUCCUAAACCACUUCCCCUUUUUAACACCUUUCAAACUCCAUUGUCUCUCAUCAUUUUCAAGAUUUAUAGCUGUAGUUACUAGAAAAGGGCAGUAAAAAUAGGUCUACGUCACCUUGCCUAGAUUGAAAAGUUUUAAUUUACUCAAUACAAGAAGAGUAUUUCAAAAUAAUUGAAGAUUCACAGAAAGUUAUAAAGGCAGGUGCAGGAAGAUUCUGUAUAUCCUAUGUGCAUCCUUCCUUGAUGCCACUCCCUGGCUUGACUAUAGUACAAUAGCAAAGUCAGGAAAAUGACCUGGGUACAAACUGUAACUCUUAUUCAGACACUACCAAUGAGAUAAACACACACACACACACACACACACACACACUCAUUUGUGUGCAGGCUUGAUAUGUGGUAUGUGUGCAUGUAUGCAUGUGAAUGUAUGUAUAGUUGUAUGCUAUUUUAUCCUUUUGUACCUUUGUGUAACCACUACAUCAAUAAAGACACUUAAUCAUCAUAACCAGACUCUCAUUUCUACCCUUUCUAGUCAUAUACCUCUCUUCUUCUCUAUUCCUAAUUCAUAGCAAUCACCAACACAUUUCUAUAAUUGUGUUUUUUCAUAAAUGUUAUAUAAGGAAUUGUGCAGAAUAAUGCCUUUUGAUAUUGACUUUUUUCAUUUUGUAUAAUUUCCUCAAGUUUCAUCCAAUAUAUUGUAUAUAUAAAUAGUGUGGGUUUUUUUUUUACUAAAGCAGUAUUUUGUGGUAUGGAUUAUAAUCACAUUUUGUUUAACCAUUUACCCACUGAAGGAUAUUUAGUUAGUUUCCUGGUUUUGAUUAUUAGAAAUACAGCUACUACAAAUAAUUGAGUACAAGUUUCUGCAUGAAACAAAUUUCAUUUCUCUGGGACAUGUGCCUAAGAGUGCAAUUGUUAGUCUUUAUGGUAGAUUCAUUAUGUUUAAAAUGUACUCUGAAACUAUUUUCCAUAGUUAUUAUAUGAUUUUACACUUCUACCAGUAAUGUAUGAAUGAAUCAGUUUCUGUACAUCCUUGCCAGAAUUUGGUGUUGUUACAACUUACAUUAGCCACUAUGAUGGCUAUACAUUAUUAUACCACUGUAGAUUUAAGUUGCACUUCCAAGUCACUAUUGAUAUCAGAUAUUUUAUGUGUUUAUUUGUCAUCUAUGUAUCCUAUAUAAUGAAAUGUUUCUUCCUAUAUUAUUUCCAUUUUCUUUAUUUUCUAGAUUUUAUUUUUUAAGAAAAAUUUGGUUCACAGCAAGAUUGAAUAAAAGAUCUCUGCACGAUCUUUCUCAUGCCACCUGCCCUAAGACAUGCACAGACUCCCCCAUUGCCAACAUUCCCUACUACAGUGGCAUAUUGAUUACAGUUGAUGAACUUACAUUGGCAUAUCACUUAAUAGUCCAUAGUUUAUUUUAAGGUCUACUUUGGGUGUUAGAUAAUCUGUAGGUUUGGAUAUACUAAUAAUGCCAUAUAGUCAACAUUUUAAUAAUUACUCCCCUAAGAAUCUCCUAUUCAUUCCUCCCAUCCACUUAACUCUUGGAAGCCAUCAAUCUCCUUAUUAUCUCUAUCGUUUUGCCUUUUCCAGAAAGUCAUAGACUUGGAAUCAUGCAGUAGGUAGCCUUUCAAAUUCUCUAUCUUAAUAAUGAACAUUUAAUUUCUUUUAUGUCUUUUCAGGGGUUGGUAGUUCAUUCCUGUCCAAUAAUAUUCAGCUAUAGAGAUGUACUACAGUAUAUCUAUUCACCUGCCAAAGGACAAAAGGCAUCCUAGUUUUGGCAAUUAUGAAUAUAUCUGUUAUAAACAUCCCUACUUUGUAUGAUCACAAGUUUCAGCUCCUCUGGAUAAAUACUAAGGAGCAGCACUGACAGAUUGAUGGUAAAAGUGUGAUCAGUUUUGAAAGAAACUGUUAAAAUGUCUUCUAAAGUGGCUGUACCAUUUUGUAUUGCACUAGCAGUGAAUUUGAACUUGUUGAUCAACAUCGGAAUUUGAACUUGUUGCUCAACAUCUGUAUUUGCUGUUCAUGUUCUACAUUUUAGUCAUUCUAAUAAAUGCAUAAUAGUAUCUCAUUGUAGUUUUAAUUUGCAUUUCCUGAUCACUCACAUAGAACUUCAUUUUGUAUGCUUACAUGCCAUCUGUUUAUCUUCUUUGAUGAAGAAUCUACUGAGGCCUUUGGCCCAUUUUGUAAAUUAGAUUAUUUGGCUUUCUAUUCUUGACCAAAAAAAGUGUCCUUUGUGUAUUUUGGAUAAUGGUUCUUUUCAGAUAGGAUAUCUUGAAAAUAUUUUCUCCCAGUUUUUGUCUUAUCUUUUCACUCUUUUGAUUGCCUAUUUUCUAAUGGGAUUUUUUUAUUGUGCUAAAAAUCAUAUAGCAUUAAAUUUAUCACCUGAACUAUUUUCUUCUUUUUUAAAUUUUAAUUUGUUAUAUAUGAUAGCAGAAUUCAUUAUUGCUGCAGUCCGGCUGGGCAAAAUAACCAGGAGGUGACAAGCAACUUGAAGGUUGAAGCGGGAACUGCUUUAUUGCGGAACAGCAGAGGUAUAUAUACCUAACUGAUUACACAUAGCUUGACUCAAUUAGCAUCAUCUAGGUACAGCAUUCAUCCAAUAAGGAAUCCCCACCAUCUUAAUGGCUUGGUGGUGUUGCCUCACAAACCACUCCUCUUGGCAAACUGCCAGGCGCCAUCUUGACUUGAUUGCGGCCCCCAACACAUUAUAAUUCAUAUUAUACAUAUAGAGCACAAUUUUUCAUAUCUCUGGUUAUACACAAAGUAAAAUCACACCAUUCAUGUUUUCAUACAGGUGAUGAUGUCCAUCUCAUUACGCUAUUUUUACUACCCCCAUACCCCCUCCUUUCUCCUUCCUCCUCUUUGCCCUAUCUAGAGUAAACUUGAACUAUUUUUAAGUGCCCAGUUUAGUCUGUUGAGAAUGUGUACACUAUUCUAUGAUAGUUUUCUAGAAAUUUUUCAUUUUGCAACAUUAAAACUCUAAUUCUGUGAUCUGGCCUAACUUUUCUGAGUACAUAUUUGAAAAUACCACUAUGAGCUUCACCAUUAUGCAUACCCACAAGGUGCUAAUGUACAUAUAUACAUACACACACAGACAUAAAUAUGUAAACAGCAGAAAGAUCAGCAGAGGGAAAGAGAGAAAGGAAGGAUGGAGAGAAGGGAAAGGGGAAGUACUGUGGACUAAAUUAGAAAAAUUAUAUUCUAUUUUUAUAAUUUUGAUGAACUAAUCCUAAUUGUAUAUAUAAAUAAAGAUAAUGAAUAAAAUUAAUUAAUUUAAGAACUCUAAUUCUGCCUUUUCUUCCCUCUAGCUCUUGGUAAACAUCUUUAGUCUUUCUGAUCCUAUAAUUUGGCUAGCUUAGUUUUGGUACCAGGGAUAGAACCUAAGGGGAUUUAACCACUGAGCCACAUCCCCAGCCCUUUUUUAAAUGUUUUAAAUCUCACUAGGUUGCUUUAAGCCUUGCUAAAUUGCUGAGGCUGCCUUCAAACCUGAGAUACCACCACUGGCUCAGCCUCCUAAGAUAAUGGGAUUGCAGGUGUGUGCUACCAUGCCUGGCUUGACUAUUUUCCUAUUAUAUUUACUUAUUUAAAUGGGGGAAAUAAAAAUUGUAUACAUUUUUUAUCUUCAAGAUGAUCUUUUGAAAUAUGUAACAUUGUGGAAUGACUAAAUUGAAUUAAUUUACACAUCUACUAAUUCACGCUACUAUUUUUUUGUGGGGAAAAUACUUAAAAUUCACUCAGGAGUUCUCAAGAACAAAAGGUUGUCACUGUGUAUACAAUAGAUAUCUUGAACUUAUUUCUCCAAUUAUAAUUUCAGAUCCUUUAACCAACAUCUGCUCGACUAUCCACCCCAUGUGGAAGAAAUUACCAUUCUAUUCUCGGCUUCAGUGAGUUCAACUUGCCUAGAUUCCAUAUAUUAAGUGAGAGCAUGUAGAUUUGGUCCUUCUGUGCCUGGCUUAUUUCACUUAUAAAAAUGUCCUCCACAAUAUGUAAAUCAGUGGAUGUGUAACCGAUGUGAUUCUACAAUCUGUAUACGGGGUAAAAAUGGG
rnacentral:lncRNA from 1 species